UCGAUCGUUCUAGCUUCCAGGAGAUGUCGGAUCAUGGCAAGUUGGCAGCAAGAAUGCAAGCAUUUGAAGAAUAGAAUCACAGAAAGAUUGGGGAUUCUCCCAUUUACCCUUUCAAUCCCUACACAAAGAUUAGGGAUUCUCCCCCAAUCUCAAAACCCUCAAUCCUAAAAAUGGAAUCACAGAAGAACGAAGAAGAUGAGCCGACGAGAUCAAGCUUAGAUCCUUCGUGUCGCCAACGAGAUCGAUACCUAGGUUCUCUGAGUCUGGGAUGUCGUUGAAGAGGAGAAUC
rnacentral:lncRNA from 1 species